AAAUAAACCUGAUCGGACGGACGCCAAUUUCCUUCAAAUUGGCUGGAGGGAGAGCAGGGCUGAAC
rnacentral:ncRNA from 2 species